rnacentral:rRNA from 1 species
AGUGAACGCUGGCGGUAGGCCUAACACAUGCAAGUCGAACGGCAGCACAGUAAGAGCUUGCUCUUACGGGUGGCGAGUGGCGGACGGGUGAGGAAUACAUCGGAAUCUACUUUUUCGUGGGGGAUAACGUAGGGAAACUUACGCUAAUACCGCAUACGACCUACGGGUGAAAGCAGGGGAUCUUCGGACCUUGCGCGAUUGAAUGAGCCGAUGUCGGAUUAGCUGGUUGGCGGGGUAAAGGCCCACCAAGGCGACGAUCCGUAGCUGGUCUGAGAGGAUGAUCAGCCACACUGGAACUGAGACACGGUCCAGACUCAUACGGGAGGCAGCAGUGGGGAAUAUUGGACAAUGGGCGCAAGCCUGAUCCAGCCAUACCGCGUGGGUGAAGAAGGCCUUCGGGUUGUAAAGCCCUUUUGUUGGGAAAGAAAAGCAGCAGGUUAAUACCCCGCUGUUCUGACGGUACCCAAAGAAUAAGCACCGGCGAACUUCGU